ensembl:scaRNA LOC120099031 small Cajal body-specific RNA 14
GCGCUUGCUAGGCCCUGGGUUCGGUCCUCAGCUCCGGAAAAAAAAAAGACUAAAAGAAAACAACCAUGCAACCAUUAACAGUCACAUACAUCAAAACAGAUGGUUCCUGCCGAAAGGGUCUGUAUAGUUGUCAGAUUUUCUGUGCGAUGGCUCCAUACAUA